GACGAACGCUGGCGGCGUGCUUAACACAUGCAAGUCGAACGGAAAGGCCCUGCUUUUGUGGGGUGCUCGAGUGGCGAACGGGUGAGUAACACGUGAGUAACCUGCCCUUGACUUUGGGAUAACUUCAGGAAACUGGGGCUAAUACCGGAUAGGAGCUCCUGCUGCAUGGUGGGGGUUGGAAAGUUUCGGCGGUUGGGGAUGGACUCGCGGCUUAUCAGCUUGUUGGUGGGGUAGUGGCUUACCAAGGCUUUGACGGGUAGCCGGCCUGAGAGGGUGACCGGCCACAUUGGGACUGAGAUACGGCCCAGACUCCUACGGGAGGCAGCAGUGGGGAAUAUUGCACAAUGGGCGGAAGCCUGAUGCAGCAACGCCGCGUGCGGGAUGGCGGCCUUCGGGUUGUAAACCGCUUUCGCCUGUGACGAAGCGUGAGUGACGGUAAUGGGUAAAGAAGCACCGGCUAACUACGUGCCAGCAGCCGCGGUGAUACGUAGGGUGCGAGCGUUGUCCGGAUUUAUUGGGCGUAAAGGGCUCGUAGGUGGUUGAUCGCGUCGGAAGUGUAAUCUUGGGGCUUAACCCUGAGCGUGCUUUCGAUACGGGUUGACUUGAGGAAGGUAGGGGAGAAUGGAAUUCCUGGUGGAGCGGUGGAAUGCGCAGAUAUCAGGAGGAACACCAGUGGCGAAGGCGGUUCUCUGGGCCUUUCCUGACGCUGAGGAGCGAAAGCGUGGGGAGCGAACAGGCUUAGAUACCCUGGUAGUCCACGCUGUAAACGGUGGGUACUAGGUGUGGGGUCCAUUCCACGGGUUCCGUGCCGUAGCUAACGCUUUAAGUACCCCGCCUGGGGAGUACGGCCGCAAGGCUAAAACUCAAAGGAAUUGACGGGGCCCCGCACAAGCGGCGGAGCAUGCGGAUUAAUUCGAUGCAACGCGUAGAACCUUACCUGGGUUUGACAUGGAUCGGGAGUGCUCAGAGAUGGGUGUGCCUCUUUUGGGGUCGGUUCACAGGUGGUGCAUGGCUGUCGUCAGCUCGUGUCGUGAGAUGUUGGGUUAAGUCCCGCAACGGGCGCAACCCUUGUUCACUGUUGCCAGCACGUUAUGGUGGGGACUCAGUGGAGACCGCCGGGGUCAACUCGGAGGAAGGUGGGGAUGACGUCAAGUCAUCAUGCCCCUUAUGUCCAGGGCUUCACGCAUGCUACAAUGGCUGGUACAGAGAGUGGCGAGCCUGUGAGGGUGAGCGAAUCUCGGAAAGCCGGUCUCAGUUCGGAUUGGGGUCUGCAACUCGACCUCAUGAAGUCGGAGUCGCUAGUAAUCGCAGAUCAGCAACGCUGCGGUGAAUACGUUCCCGGGGCU
rnacentral:rRNA from 1 species